rnacentral:rRNA from 1 species
UACGUAGGGGGCUAGCGUUGUCCGGAUUUAUUGGGCGUAAAGAGCGUGUAGGCGGCCAGGUAGGUCUGCUGUGAAAACUCGAGGCUCAACCUCGAGACGUCGGCGGAAACCAUCUGGCUAGAGUCCGGAAGAGGAGAGUGGAAUUCCACGUGUAGCGGUGAAAUGCGUAGAGAUGUGGAGGAACACCAGUGGCGAAGGCGGCUUUCUGGUCUGUAACUGACGCUGAGGCGCGAAAGCGUGGGGAGCAAACAGG